rnacentral:lncRNA from 1 species
AGAGGAUGCUUUUUACUAGUGCAAGCAUGUGAGAAAGCACAGCCAAGUAAUUCAAAAGGAGUUCCAGCCUGUCCAUUGACUCCACAUGCUUAUACAUUUCGAAAACCCUUGUUGCUCUCUCUAUUAAUACUUGUAAACCUCAUCAGAUAUUAAUUAAUGGAGUUUUUGAGUCUCUCUCUCUCUAUUCUUUAAAAUCUCUUAAUCUCUUUAAUAUCUUGAUCUGAUUAUCUCUGAUUGUUUGAAUCAUACUCUUAAAACACAAAAGUGUUUAUGGUAUCAGAGCCAGGUUCUUCAAACAGGGGAGAGUGUGAUUUCGUUUUUCAUAAAAAUCUGAGUGUUCUUGAGUGUUCUUGAGUGUUCUUGGUGUUCUUGAGUUCUGG